rnacentral:rRNA from 1 species
GACGAACGCUGGCGGCGUGCUUAACACAUGCAAGUCGAACGGAAAGGCCCUGCUUGUGUGGGGUGCUCGAGUGGCGAACGGGUGAGUAACACGUGAGUAACCUGCCCUUGACUUUGGGAUAACUUCAGGAAACUGGGGCUAAUACCGGAUAGGAGCUCCUGCUGCAUGGUGGGGGUUGGAAAGUUUCGGCGGUUGGGGAUGGACUCGCGGCUUAUCAGCUUGUUGGUGGGGUAGUGGCUUACCAAGGCUUUGACGGGUAGCCGGCCUGGGAGGGUGGCCGGCCACAUUGGGCCUGCGAUACGGCCCAGACUCCUACGGGAGGCAGCAGUGGGGAAUAUUGCACAAUGGGCGGAAGCCUGAUGCGGCAACGCCGCGUGCGUGAUGCCGGCCUUCGGGUUGUAAACCGCUUUCGCCUGUGACGAAGCGUGAGUGACGGUAAUGGGUAAAGAAGCACCGGCUAACUACGUG